GAAAUUACACCAUAAUAUCAUGAAAUGUCACUUGCGGAAAACUCGAUAACAAUGACUAUAUUCCAAUUAAAUGGUUUGAAAGAGGCUAUUGUUUUAAUUUUAUCCAUGGAUAAUCCAAAUACAGGACCCAUCUUUUUGAGUACUUUUGGCCCAUUUUUGAAUCCGGUCCAGCUUCUUCGGGUCUCACAAUUUCUGUUUCUUCCUCCGGUGAACUCUUCGCCGUCUCAUUUUCCGGCAAAAUUCAGUUGUAAGUUUCCUCUUUUGCCUGUUGAUUCCGAUCUAUACUCUCUCACACACAAAACGAAAUCUCUAUAAUCCUUUUUCGAUGAAUUUCAGCUGUUAUAAUAUCAUUCACUGAAUCGGAUUUACUAUGUGUUGUGUAUUCACCUGCAAUUUUUAUUUUGCUUAAUGAAUCUUAAUUUGUGAGUCUGUGCUACUAUGCUGCGAAAUAAUAGUAACAAUUUUUGUAUGAAGUAAUAAAUGAUGAAUUUUUAAUAAUCAUUUUGUUACUGCUAUUAGUUUUCAGCUAUGUUGCUCAGGACUCUCCAAAACCGAUGCUGCGCCUGUGUUAGAUUCUUCAAAAAUGCACUACUUUUGGAGAAUCCGACUCACAUCCAUAGUCAUUUUUAAAGAGGCAUAGCAACAUAGGUUUCCAACACAUGAGAAAGUUAUAAAUUACAAGUGAAAAAUCCAAAUUGUUCUUGCAUCAGAAUCUACAAUUUCAUUCGUAAUUGCAUCAAAUUUACCUCUUCUUCUAGCUUUGCAUUGUAAAGGACUGGCUUUGCUUUACUUUUUCAGAAGAGUAGUUUUUCACUUUUUUGUCAUGUCUUCUUCACUUCCGUUGUUUUCUUUUCCGAACUGCUUUCAUUUACUUUUCUUGAGCUGAGGAUCUAUUGGAAACAAUCACUCUACCUUCCAAGUUAAGGCUACACUCUUCCCUCCGCAGACUGCACUGAAUUUGUUGUAUAGUAGUUGAUCACUUACUUAAUUGUGCUAAUGUUGGUAAAUAUAUAAUCUUGGUUUUAUGUUUUAAUUUGUUAACUGAUGUUAAACUUAGGACUCUUUAUUACCAAAAGUGAAGUCUGAAAGUGAAUUCAUUUCCUGAAUAACCCAUGUAAUAGUCUUUACCAGGUAUAUGUAGAAGGUAACUUAUGGGUUCAUCCGAACCUAGUAGCUUUGGCUUAGGCCCUUUAUAGAUGUUAAAAGAUCCACUAAAUAAGUAUAAAUAAUAGAUGUUGAACCUAGUGAAUCAAUUGUGUUGUGUCAGAAUACCAAACUCUAACUCAUACUGUUCAAUUGAGGAAUAAGCCUCUAUCCUUAGAUGUAUAUACACCAUAUCCUCGUGUAUUUCUGAUUAAUGACUAAAUGAGUGGUUCCUGCGUGUUAACUAGUUAGAUGCAGAUGUCAUCUUCAAAUAUAUGAAAACACUGCCUUUCAGCUGUAGGAUUCUGCCAGAAUUGAUGUUGAGUUAAUUCAUCAAUGAGUACAUCCCAUAAUUGCUUGUCCUUGUCCUUAUUACUGUAUGCUUGUGCUGGUCCUGUUUGCAGUACAUUCAUGUUUUAUCAGGGAAGAUUUACUUUUGUUUCACAAUUUUGAAAGCACAAAAGGUGAAUGAUCAUUCUUCAUUUAUGUUUCUUUCUAGUUUUCCCUUUCUUCUCUUUAACAUCUUCAACGUUCUAAAACCUUUCACCUUAUUAUUGUGCCCCUUUCUAUUUAUUCAAAAGUUUUCCGUCUCUCCUUUGGGGAUGGCAAAAACAAAAAUAUCAAAAGAUCUCUGCAUCCAUGGAGAACCUAAGGUUCCUAAAAUGAACCAGUGUUUUAGAUUCUCUUUGAUGCAUGAACAACUUGCCAAUACAGCUUCUUAUAGUCAAGGAUCUCAAAUGUGUCAUGAAAGAAAUUACAUUCCCCAUCUGCGCGUCUUCUGUAAAAUGUGUCGGUAGUCAGUCCUGAAUUGUUAUGGUCAAGAUUAUUUGGCACCAUGGAUCUGGCCUGCAUGCGAUACUUACCUUAAACAUUGUAUGAACCUGUGCGUAGGAUGCAGUGGGACUUUUGUGGAGGAUAAAUAAGAAAGGUCCUAGGAGUUCUGCCUUAUUGAUCCUGUUCUAGCACGUUAUCGAUUAUAUUCCAAGGUCAAAUAACAGAUAUAGGGAUGUGUUUUUGGCUUAAUUUUGUGAUGCUAAAUGGACGAUCUUGAUAAUGUGUUGCUAUUAAAGAAGGGAUUACUUAAAACUUUAGUGUUAGGUUCAUUAUGUAAAUAAUUGUAAUUAAGAGGACUAUCCAUCAAAGAAGUUGUUAAAGUAGUUAGAAGAUUGUUAGAGUAGUUAGAAUAAAUUCAAUUUGUUAUUCUUGUAUAUAUAGUUGAAUGUACAGGUUACAAAUACACUUUGAGAAAGAACACAAAAAUCACACGAAUCCUUCCUCUAUACUGCUUCUUCUUCCUUGUUCUUCUCUGUUUCUUUUCUUCAUCUUCUUCUCUACUGUAGCUUUAUGAUCAUGCAUGAUUAACAUGCAUCAGCUACAAGAAGAUUAACAUGGUAUCAGAGCCAGCACAGUAGAGCUUCAAGAUCUCAGCCAAAACCAUGGCAAUUGUCGAUAAUGAGUUGCCUGAGAAGCUGAGCCAUAAUCAUCCUUUGUUCUUACAUUCAAUAGAUAAUUCAGGCGUAUUACUUAGUUCAAUUCAACUAACUGGAGCUGAUAAUUUUUCAGUAUGGAGUCGAGCUAUGAAAAUUGCAAUUAUAGGUCGCAAUAAACUUGGAUUCAUUGAUGGAUCAUGUAGAAAAGAAUUAUAUGGUCCUAACUUGACAAAUCUGUGGGAAAGAUGUAAUGCUAUAGUGCUGUCGUGGAUUAUGAAUUGUGUUUUGAAGGAGUUACUUGGAGGUAUUGUUUAUUCUACCAAUGCAGCAGCUGUGUGGAAGGAUCUAUGUGAAAGAUAUGACAAGAUUGAUGGAUCACGUAUCUUUCAACUACACAAAGAGAUUGCUACUGUUAGCCAAGGUACAAGCUCGAUCUCAAGCUAUUUCUCUAAGCUACGUGAGUUGUGGGUAGAGUAUGAUAGUUUGGCACCUGUUCCUGGGUGUGAUUGUGUGAAUUCAAGAGAAUUUGUAGUGUUCAUGCACAAUCAGAAGUUACUGCAGUUUCUCAUGGGAUUAAAUGACUCAUAUGAGCAAGCUAGAAGCCAAAUACUAAUGAUGGUACCUUUGCCUACUAUAAAUAAGGCAUACUCACUGCUUAUUGAAAGAGAAAGCCAACGUAUCAUGUCACAAACUUCUCACAGUUCAAGUUCAUCUGAUCUAAAUGCCUUGUUUACUGCUCAAUCAUCAAUUCCCAAACCAAGGUUUAAUACUAGUUCAAGCUAUGAUCCAAAUGCAUUUUGUGAGUACUGUAAAAGAACAUGACACAUGCAAGCUGUGUGUUAUAAGCUUCAUGGAUAUCCACCUGGUUAUGAAAGAAAGAAGAGAGGUUCUACUGGUCCUACUUACAAUGGUCAAGGGAGAGGAAGAUCAAGUAAUGAUAGGAGAUCAUAUCCAUCUGCUAACAAUGCAAUUAGUGACACUGAUCAUUCUGAUUUUAAUAGAGUUGAGAAUCCAAGAAAUCAAGGUUGUGGUAGAGGUGAUAGUCAAGCUGAUUCUGUUGAUUAUCACAAAGGAUUGAAUGCAUUGCAGGAACAAUAUAAUCAAAUAUUGCAGAUGCUUGGCCAAUCAAAUAGGCAGAACACCACUGAAAGAGACUCAAAUUCACAUUCCAGUGCAAAUCUAGCUCAAGAGAACUAUCCUUCAUCAGGUAAUGUCACUGCUCUUUCAGCUAGUAUAGCACAUACAGGAUGGAUUAUAGACUCUGGUGCAACAAAUCAUAUGACUCCUCACUCACAAUUAUUGAUUAACAAACAUCCAUUGCCUAGUGAUGCACCUAGAAGUGUACAACUACCAAAUGGAGAUAGUACAUUGAUCACACAUACAGGUUCUAGUAGUAUGACCUCACGAGACAUUAUCAAUAAUGUUCUUCUUAUUCCUGACUUUAAGUUCAGUCUAUUGUCAGUCUCAAAAAUUACAAAGGAUCUACAGUGUGCAGUAUGUUUCUAUCCUGACUUUGUGACUACUCAGGAUCUCUCCAGUGGGCAGGUGAAGGUGAUUGGUAGAGAACAGGCUGGACUUUAUCUCAUUCCUCAUCCUUCAUCUCCUGCAGCUAGUACUCAAGCAUACUCUCAUUUGGUUCAUGAUGGUUUAUCAAGUUCACAAACUGUUCUAUGGCACCAAAGACUAGGUCAUACUUCAUCUAAUGUUUUAGCUAAAACUCUCAAUCUUCCAGUUACACAGUGCUCAGAUGAGGUUCACAACUGUACCAUAUGUCCUCUAGCUAAACAACCAAGACUUCCUUUUCCAAAUAGCUCUACUAUAUCUUCUAGUCCAUUCCAGUUUUUACAUAUAGAUGUUUGGGGUCCAUUUCAUACUCCUACAUAUGAUGGCAAUAGAUUCUUUGUCACUAUAAUGGAUGAUUGUACUAGAAUGUUGUGGCUGUUUCUAAUAAAGUUGAAGAGUGAUGUUUGUGUUGUAUUGAAAAUUUUCUUUACUCUAGUCAAAACUCAAUUCAACUUAUUAGUUAAAAGCAUUCGUACUGAUAAUGGUUCUGAGUUUGUUAACACUGAGUGUACACAUUUGUAUACAAGCUUGGGUAUUGUUCAUCAAAGAACCUGCAUACACACUCCUCAACAGAAUGGUAUAGCUGAAAGAAAACACAGACACAUACUUGAGGUAGCUAGAGCCAUCAGAUUCCAAGGAAAUAUUCCUAUCAAAUUUUGGGGGCACUGCAUUCUUAAUGCUGCAUAUAUUGUAAACAGAUUGCCUACAUCUGUUUUGCAUGGUAAAUCUCCAUUCGAAAUGUUUCACAAGUGUAAACCUUCCCUACAGCAUAUGAGGGUGAUAGGUUGUCUAUGUUUUGCUAAAAACAUGCACAUUAAGGACAAAUUUCAUUCUAGGAGUGUCAUUGCUGUACACAUGGGCUAUAGUGCUCAUACAAAGGGAUAUAUGUUAUACAACAUCAAGGACAAAACAUUCUUCAUUAGCAGAGAUGUACUAUUCAGAGAAACUAUAUUUCCAUUUGCUUCUCCUUCAUCUACUGCAUGGCAAGUGUUCCCUAAGGUUGAUGAAUCUUUAGAGAUUGCACCUUUGUUCCAGCCUACUCCUACCACAGUUGUAAAUACUGAGUUAGUUCCAGCUCAAGAUACUUCUUCUAUAAGAAGAUCACAAAGAAGUACCAAAGCUCCUUUAUGGCUACAGGAUUAUGUUGCAUCUACUCAGCUUCAAUCCAAUAAACCUCUGUAUUCCAUUGAUAAGUACAUUGGCUAUGACAACUUGUCUUCUUCUUAUCGAGCCUUCCUUACUUCAUUUGGUACUGAAGUUGAACCUACUUCUUUUGAGGAAGCCUGUAAGGAUCCAAGGUGGGUUGAAGCAAUGCAAGCUGAAAUAUCAGCUUUGGAGUCCAAUCAAACAUGGCAGGUGGUUCCCUUACCUACUAACAAGAAAGCUAUUGGGUGCAAGUGGAUUUUUAAAAUCAAGUAUCAUGCCUCUGGUGAGAUUGACAGGUUUAAGGCACGUCUAGUGGCAAAAGGAUUUAAUCAAAGAGAAGGGCUGGAUUAUCAGGAAACCUUUUCUCCAGUUGUGAAAAUGGUGACUGUUAGGAGUGUACUGUCCUUAGCUGCAAAAGAACAUUGGCAUGUUCAUCAGAUGGAUGUGUCUAAUGCAUUCCUUCAGGGAGAUUUACAUGAUGAAGUCUAUAUGGUACUUCCUUUUGGCUUUAAGCCUCCAAAGGGCUUUAGUGUGCAGGGGGAGAAACCAGUGUGUAGGCUCACUAAAUCCCUAUAUGGAUUAAAACAAGCACCUAGGCAAUGGAAUGAAAAACUCACUGAAGUUCUUGUCAAAUUGGGAGUUGUACAAAGUCAUCUUGAUUACUCAUUAUUCAUCAAGAAAACUAGUACAUCUCUGGUUAUACUUUUAGUAUAUGUAGAUGACUUGAUCAUCACUGGAAGUGAUAUCAAUCUCAUUCAACAAAAAGCACUUUACAAGAAAACUUCAAAAUGAAAGAUCUAGGGAAUCUCAGGUAUUUCCUUGGAAUUGAGUUUGCAAGAUCACAAGAGGGCAUUGUAAUGCAUCAAAGGAAAUAUUCUUUGGAGAUCAUAUCUGAGGCAGGUCUUAGUGCAGCAAAACCUGCUGCUACUCCAUUGGAUCCUUAUGUACAGUUAACUACUAAAGAUAUGAUGAAAUAAAUGGAACAAACAGAGAUGAUAAAUUGUUGACAGAGCCAACAGUGUACAGAAGAUUAGUCUAAAUGUCACUAGACCAGACAUAUUGCAUUUGCUACACAGACUCUAAGUCAAUUUCUACAUCAGCCCAAACAAUCUCAUCUAAAUGCUGCCCUCAAGGUAGUAAGAUAUGUCAAAAGGCAAGCUAGAUUGGGUGUUCUAUUAUCAAGUGCAAAGAGCAAAGAACUUCAAGUUUACUGUGAUUCAGACUUGGGUAGCUGUCUACAUACAAGGAGGUCAGUUACAGGUUUCAUGGUAAAGUUGGGAGGCUCACUAAUAUCAUGGAAGUCUAAGAAGCAAGCAACCAUUUCUAGAAGCUCAACUGAAGCUGAGUACAGAAGUAUGGCAAGUGCAGUGGCUGAAGUUGUGUGGUUAGUGAAGCUAUUCAAAGAACUUGGAGUUGAAGUACACACUCCAGUAACUAUAUACAGUGACAGCAAGUCAGCUAUUCAAAUAGCUGCUAAUCCUGUGCUACAUGAAAGGACAAAGCAUAUAGAGUUGGACUGUCAUUUUAUAAGAGAGAAGAUACAGAAUGGAUUAGUGCAAACUCAAUACUUGAACACCAAAGAACAAGAAGUAGACAUGCUAACAAAAGGCUUGGGAAAAACUCAACAUGAAUAUCUCCUAUCCAAGUUUGGUGUAUUGAACCUAUUCAUACCUACAAACUUGAGGGGGAGUAUUAAAGAAGGGAUUACUUAAAGCUUUAGUGUUAGGUUCAUUAUGUAAAUAAUUGUAAUUAAGAGGACUAUCCAUCAAAGAAGUUGUUAAAGUAGUUAGAAGAUUGUUAGAGUAGUUAGAAUAAAUUCAAUUUGUUAUUCUUGUAUAUAUAGUUGAAUGUACAGGUUACAAAUACACUGAGAAAAUACACAAGGAUCACACGAAUCCUUCCUCUAUACUGCUUCUUCUUCCUUGUUCUUCUCUGUUUCUUUUCUUCAUCUUCUUCUCUACUGUAGCUUUAUGAUCAUGCAUGAUUAACAUGCAUCAGCUACAAGAAGAUUAACAGUUGCCCUCUUCUGACUUUUUCCGUGUGGAACUGAUCAUAUUAUAUUAAUCAUAACAGUUGCUGCAGGCAAAAAGACAUGGCAUUGAUCUACCUCAGAUCAUUGAGAAGCAUGAACAAUUCCCAAAGAGUUGAUUCAAAUGGGAGGCUGCAGAACAUUUGCUGCUGGCAGUAAAUCAAAGAAGGGUGGUAAAGGGGGUGCAGCUGCC
rnacentral:lncRNA from 1 species